rnacentral:lncRNA from 1 species
CAACCAGAAGUACUUUGUCCUGUUCACAAUGUACAUAGCUCUCAUUUCCUUGCACGCCCUCAUCAUGGUGGGAUUCCACUUCCUGCAUUGCUUUGAAGAAGACUGGACAAAGUGCAGCUCCUUCUCACCGCCCACCACUGUCAUCCUGCUCAUCCUGCUGUGUUUUGAGGCCGCUCUUCCUCAUUUUCACAUCAGUGAUGUUUGGGACCCAAGUGCACUCCAUCUGCACAGAUGAGACAGGAAUAGAACAAUUGAAAAAGGAAGAGAGAAGAUGGGCUAAAAAAACAAAGUGGGUGAACUUGAAAGCCGUUUUUGGCCACUCUUUCUCUUUAGGCUGGGCCAGCCCCUUUGCCACACCAGCAAGGGAAGGCAGACCCGUACCAGUAUGUGGUCUGAAGGACCUUGACCAGCAUUGCCACUCAGACCACAUCACAGCACUCCCAUCCGCUCUCGGGAAUGUUUAGGCCAAAACUCUUAAAACUUUUUUAUGUCUUCAGAAAAAUGGCUGAGCAUUGCAGAGAAAAAAAAAAGUCCUUAUGUUUUAUUUUUU